rnacentral:rRNA from 1 species
CCUACGGGCGGCUGCAGUAAGGAAUAUUGGUCAAUGGAGGAAACUCUGAACCAGCCAUCCCGCGUGAAGGAUGAAGGGGCUCUGCCUUGUAAACUUCUUUUGUCUGGGGCGAAAAAGCUCGAUUUAUCGAGAACUGACGGUACCAGAAGCAUAAGCACCGGCUAACUCAGUGCCAGCAGCAGCGGUAAUACGGAGGGUGCAAGCGUUACCCGGAAUAACGGGUGUGAAGGCGUCCUUGGGCGUCUGUGGUGAAAGGCUGUGGCUUAACCAUGGAAUUGCCAUUGAGACUGCAGAGCUUGAAUGAGGUUGAGGUUGGCGGAAUGUGACAUGUAGCGGUGAAAUGCUUAGAUAUGUCAUGGAACACCGAUUGCGAAGGCAGCUGACUGGACCUAUAUUGACGCUGAGGCACGAAAGCGUGGGGAGCGAACAGGAUUAGAUACCCCUGUAGUC